UACGGGGGGGGCAAGCGUUGUUCGGAAUUACUGGGCGUAAAGGGCUUGUAGGUGGCCAACUAAGUCAGACGUGAAAUCCCUCGGCUUAACCGGGGAACUGCAUCUGAUACUGGAUGGCUUGAGUGAGGAAGAGGGUUGUGGAAUUCCCAGUGUAGAGGUGAAAUUCGUAGAUAUUGGGAAGAACACCGGUGGCGAAGGCGGCAACCUGGUCCUUACUGACGCUGAGGCGCGAAAGCGUGGGGAGCAAACAGG
rnacentral:rRNA from 1 species